AGAGUUUGAUCCUGGCUCAGAUUGAACGCUGGCGGCAUGCCUUACACAUGCAAGUCGAACGGCAGCACGGGUGCUUGCACCUGGUGGCGAGUGGCGAACGGGUGAGUAAUAUAUCGGAACGUACNCUUAUCGUGGGGGAUAACGCAGCGAAAGCUGCGCUAAUACCGCAUACGCCCUGAGGGGGAAAGCGGGGGACCGUAAGGCCUCGCGCGAUUAGAGCGGCCGAUAUCUGAUUAGCUUGUUGGUGGGGUAAAAGCCCACCAAGGCGACGAUCAGUAGCUGGUCUGAGAGGACGAUCAGCCACACUGGGACUGAGACACGGCCCAGACUCCUACGGGAGGCAGCAGUGGGGAAUUUUGGACAAUGGGGGCAACCCUGAUCCAGCAAUGCCGCGUGAGUGAAGAAGGCCUUCGGGUUGUAAAGCUCUUUUGUCAGGGAAGAAACAGCAGCUCUAACACAGUCUGCGAAUGACGGUACCUGAAGAAUAAGCACCGGCUAACUACGUGCCAGCAGCCGCGGUAAUACGUAGGGUGCAAGCGUUAAUCGGAAUUACUGGGCGUAAAGCGUGCGCAGGCGGUUAUACAAGACAGGCGUGAAAUCCCCGGG
rnacentral:rRNA from 1 species